rnacentral:rRNA from 1 species
UUGAAGAGUUUGAUCAUGGCUCAGAUUGAACGCUGGCGGCAGGCCUAACACAUGCAAGUCGAGCGGUAACACAGAGAGCUUGCUCUCGGGUGACGAGCGGCGGACGGGUGAGUAAUGUCUGGGAAACUGCCUGAUGGAGGGGGAUAACUACUGGAAACGGUAGCUAAUACCGCAUAAUGUCGCAAGACCAAAGUGGGGGACCUUCGGGCCUCAUGCCAUCAGAUGUGCCCAGAUGGGAUUAGCUAGUAGGUGGGGUAACGGCUCACCUAGGCGACGAUCCCUAGCUGGUCUGAGAGGAUGACCAGCCACACUGGAACUGAGACACGGUCCAGACUCCUACGGGAGGCAGCAGUGGGGAAUAUUGCACAAUGGGCGCAAGCCUGAUGCAGCCAUGCCGCGUGUGUGAAGAAGGCCUUCGGGUUGUAAAGCACUUUCAGCGGGGAGGAAGGCGUUAAGGUUAAUAACCUUGGCGAUUGACGUUACCCGCAGAAGAAGCACCGGCUAACUCCGUGCCAGCAGCCGCGGUAAUACGGAGGGUGCAAGCGUUAAUCGGAAUUACUGGGCGUAAAGCGCACGCAGGCGGUCUGUCAAGUCGGAUGUGAAAUCCCCGGGCUCAACCUGGGAACUGCAUUCGAAACUGGCAGGCUAGAGUCUUGUAGAGGGGGGUAGAAUUCCAGGUGUAGCGGUGAAAUGCGUAGAGAUCUGGAGGAAUACCGGUGGCGAAGGCGGCCCCCUGGACAAAGACUGACGCUCAGGUGCGAAAGCGUGGGGAGCAAACAGGAUUAGAUACCCUGGUAGUCCACGCCGUAAACGAUGUCGAUUUGGAGGUUGUGCCCUUGAGGCGUGGCUUCCGGAGCUAACGCGUUAAAUCGACCGCCUGGGGAGUACGGCCGCAAGGUUAAAACUCAAAUGAAUUGACGGGGGCCCGCACAAGCGGUGGAGCAUGUGGUUUAAUUCGAUGCAACGCGAAGAACCUUACCUGGUCUUGACAUCCACAGAACUUUCCAGAGAUGGAUUGGUGCCUUCGGGAACUGUGAGACAGGUGCUGCAUGGCUGUCGUCAGCUCGUGUUGUGAAAUGUUGGGUUAAGUCCCGCAACGAGCGCAACCCUUAUCCUUUGUUGCCAGCGGUUAGGCCGGGAACUCAAAGGAGACUGCCAGUGAUAAACUGGAGGAAGGUGGGGAUGACGUCAAGUCAUCAUGGCCCUUACGACCAGGGCUACACACGUGCUACAAUGGCAUAUACAAAGAGAAGCGACCUCGCGAGAGCAAGCGGACCUCAUAAAGUAUGUCGUAGUCCGGAUUGGAGUCUGCAACUCGACUCCAUGAAGUCGGAAUCGCUAGUAAUCGUAGAUCAGAAUGCUACGGUGAAUACGUUCCCGGGCCUUGUACACACCGCCCGUCACACCAUGGGAGUGGGUUGCAAAAGAAGUAGGUAGCUUAACCUUCGGGAGGGCGCUUACCACUUUGUGAUUCAUGACUGGGGUGAAGUCGUAACAAGGUAACCGUAGGGGAACCUGCGGUUGGAUCACCUCCUU